GACGUAGGGGGCGAGCGUUAUUCGGAAUUAUUGGGCGUAAAGCGCUCGUAGGCGGGAUUGCAAGUCCGUGUUGAAAGACCUCGGCUCAACUGAGGGACCGGCUCGGAUACUGGAGAUCUUGAGUCCGGAAGAGGUAAGUGGAACUGCGAGUGUAGAGGUGAAAUUCGUAGAUAUUCUGAAGAACACCAGUGGCGAAGGCGACUUACUGGACACAUAUUGACGCUGAGGUGCGAAAGCGUGGGGAGCAAACAGG
rnacentral:rRNA from 1 species